UUACCCCUAUUCGAUCAAAACUCUCCUCUACCACCACCGCCACCGUCUCAACCUCUGUCUCAUCCACCCGCCGCCGUGAAUUCCUCUCUCUGGCUGCCGGAAUCCUUACUCCGGCAUUGCUCCUACCUGCCACGUCAGCAUUCGCUGCUUCCGACGAGGAGUACGUGAGGGAAGCUUCGGAAGUGAUUAAGAAAGUGAGGUCCACGCUCUCUAUGGAGAAAAGUGAUCCGAACUUAGCUGAUUCUGUUACUGAGUUGAGAGAGGCUUCUAAUUAUUGGGUUGCUAAGUACAGAAGAGAGAAGGCUUUAUUGGGCCGGGCCUCAUUCCGUGACAUUUACUCGGCCCUCAAUGCUGUUUCGGGCCAUUAUGUUAGCUUUGGGCCGACCACACCCAUUCCGGCUAAGAGAAAGCAGAGAAUCUUGGAAGAGAUGGACACUG
rnacentral:lncRNA from 1 species